rnacentral:misc_RNA from 1 species
UAGCUGAACUUCUUGCAUUGAUCUUGUUAGCCCAGGAGUAGCACCAACAUUGACAACAUGACAUCUCUUUAAGCUGUUAAUUAGACUACUCUUACCAACAUUAGGCAGUCCAAUGACACCAACUGUAAUAGAUUGAUUUUUUGAUAUCAUGACUUCUUGAGUAAUUUUUCAGCAAUUUGAUAAGGGUUUCAGCUCCAAGACAAUCACUUGUUUGCAGAAGAUUGCUGGUCUUUGCUGUUUUUGAGGAAGAUUUCCACCCUAGGUUUGAUCUCUGCUCUUGGGUACUACACUUGAAGGCAACUGCAGGCAAUUCUUCUCUAAGAUACUUAAGCCAUUUUUCAACAGCUUCUCGAGGGACAAGAUCGAUUUUAUUUAGGAGUAAAACUAGUCGCUUAUCAUGACCUGAUCUCAUCACCAUCUUUUCCAUAUCAACACAACGGGUACCACUGGGAUCUCGGGCAUCAACAACUUCCAAUAUGACAUCUGAUUCUUCAAU